GACGUCACCGCGGGCUCCAUCCGGCAGCCGGCGGCCGGCGGCCGGCGGCCGGCGCCGCCCGCCCCGGGGGACAGAAAUCAAUCAACCCUCACCCCUGGCAGUCCCUGAGUAGGCCCCCGGUGGAGUUCUGGGCCUCCCGUCUUCCGUUUGGUCAUUCGUGUAACUCCACCACCGGUAGCGUUUUUAAAUCGUGACUGCAGCUCUAAAGAAAGAGUCGUUAAGCCAAGUACUGCCACAAGGUCUCUGUGUAAGAGGAUAAGAAUUUAAACCCCUUCCAGUGUGCAAUCAUCCUCUAAGGCAGGAGUCCCCAACACCCCCGACCCCUCAUUAGGAACAGGACCAUACAGCAGGAGUGUUUCGUCUGGAAGUGAUCUCAGAGAGAGAGUGAUCCUGAAGAGAGAUCUUAGUUUCCUCUGCAGAAACUGAAUCUGGGAAGCCUGAAUGAAAACCAGGAAACCUAGCCACCAAACCACCGGCAGCUAGAGGCUAGAAGCAAAGUGGCCCUAGCUCCUUCCCACAUUUGAAAGCAAGAAAGUUUCAAGGAGGCAAAAACUAUACAAACAGGGACGGUACCCUGCCCGGCUCCUCUGUCCAUGGGAUUGCCCAGGCAAGAAUAGUAGAGUGGGUUGCUGUUUCCUUCUCCCGAGGAUCUUUCCGAGCCAUGGAUCGAACCUUCAUCUCUUCUGUUUCCUGCAUUGGCAGGUGGAUUCUUUACCACUGAACCACCUGGGAAGCUGGGGUCAUUGUUUACCUUUGGUCAAUUAUCUUGUUUCUUUUUUCACAUCUGACCGUUCCUUGGACCAUCCCCAAGAUGC
ensembl:lncRNA